rnacentral:lncRNA from 1 species
UAUAGAUCAGUGCUUGUUGAACACUAUAGAAUUCAUACUGGAGAGAAUCCCUACAAAUGUAAAGAAUGUGGCAAAGCUUUUAGCCAUCAUGCUGGCUUUAUCAAACACCUGAGAAGUCAUAGUGGAAAGAAGCCCUACAAAUGUGAACAAUGUGGCAAAUGUUUUAGUCAGAAAUCAAAUCUGGUCCAACACCAGAGAAUUCAUAAUGGCGAGAAACCCUACAAAUGUGAAGAAUGUGCCAAAGUUUUUAGUCAAAGAUCACUACUUAACAAUCACCAUAGAAUUCAUACUGCAGAAAAUCCCUACAAAUGUAAAGACUGUGGCAAGGCUUUUAGGCAAUAUUCAUGCAUUUUCCAACACCAGAAAAUUCAUACUGGAGAGAAGCCCUACAAAUGUAAAGAAUGUGGCAAAGCUUUUAAGCAAAAUUCAGCAUUAACUAAGCACCAGAGAAUCCACACUGGAGAGAAGCCCUACAAAUGUAAAGAAUGUGGCAAGGCUUUUGCCCAAAGAUCAGCACUUACUGGACACCUCAGGGUUCAUACUGCAGAGCAGUCCUAAAAUGUACAGAAUGUGGCAAAGCUUUUAAGCAUCUUUCAUCAAUUACUAUUCACCAGAGAAUCCACACUGGAGAGAAGCUCUACAAAUGUAAAGAAUGUGGCAAAGCUUUUACCCAAAGAUCAGCACUUACUGGACACCACAGAGUUCAUACUGCAGAGAAGCCCUAGAAAUGUACAGAAUGUGGCAAAGCUUUUAGGCAUCACGCAAGCAUUUUCAAACACCAGAGAAUGCAUACUGGAGAGACGCCCUACAAAUGUG